rnacentral:rRNA from 1 species
AACGAACGCUGGCGGCAUGCCUAACACAUGCAAGUCGAACGAGACCUUCGGGUCUAGUGGCGCACGGGUGCGUAACGCGUGGGAACCUGCCCUUAGGUUCGGAAUAACUCCCCGAAAGGGGUGCUAAUACCGGAUAAUGUCUUCGGACCAAAGAUUUAUCGCCUUUGGAUGGGCCCGCGUUGGAUUAGCUAGUUGGUAGGGUAAAAGCCUACCAAGGCGACGAUCCAUAGCUGGUCUGAGAGGAUGAUCAGCCACACUGGGACUGAGACACGGCCCAGACUCCUACGGGAGGCAGCAGUGGGGAAUAUUGGACAAUGGGCGAAAGCCUGAUCCAGCAAUGCCGCGUGAGUGAUGAAGGCCAUAGAGUUGUAAAGCUCUUUUACCCGGGAUGAUAAUGACAGUACCGGGAGAAUAAGCUCCGGCUAACUCCGUG